rnacentral:rRNA from 1 species
AACGAACGCUGGCGGCAGGCUUAACACAUGCAAGUCGAACGCCCCGCAAGGGGAGUGACAGACGGGUGAGUAACGCGUGGGAAUCUACCCAUCUCUGCGGAAUAGCUCCGGGAAACUGGAAUUAAUACCGCAUACGCCCUACGGGGGAAAGAUUUAUCGGGGAUGGAUGAGCCCGCGUUGGAUUAGCUAGUUGGUGGGGUAAAGGCCUACCAAGGCGACGAUCCAUAGCUGGUCUGAGAGGAUGAUCAGCCACAUUGGGACUGAGACACGGCCCAAACUCCUACGGGAGGCAGCAGUGGGGAAUAUUGGACAAUGGGCGCAAGCCUGAUCCAGCCAUGCCGCGUGAGUGAUGAAGGCCUUAGGGUUGUAAAGCUCUUUCACCGAUGAAGAUAGUGACGGUAGUCGGAGAAGAAGCCCCGGCUAACUUCGUGCCAGCAGCCGCCGUAAAAC